rnacentral:rRNA from 1 species
AUUGAACGCUGGCGGCAGGCCUAACACAUGCAAGUCGAGCGGAGAGAGGUAGCUUGCUACUGAUCUUAGCGGCGGACGGGUGAGUAAUGCUUAGGAAUCUGCCUAUUAGUGGGGGACAACAUUUCGAAAGGAAUGCUAAUACCGCAUACGUCCUACGGGAGAAAGCAGGGGAUCUUCGGACCUUGCGCUAAUAGAUGAGCCUAGGUCGGAUUAGCUAGUUGGUGGGGUAAAGGCCUACCAAGGCGACGAUCUGUAGCGGGUCUGAGAGGAUGAUCCGCCACACUGGGACUGAGACACGGCCCAGACUCCUACGGGAGGCAGCAGUGGGGAAUAUUGGACAAUGGGCGCAAGCCUGAUCCAGCCAUGCCGCGUGUGUGAAGAAGGCCUUAUGGUUGUAAAGCACUUUAAGCGAGGAGGAGGCUACUUUAGUUAAUACCUAGAGAUAGUGGACGUUACUCGCAGAAUAAGCACCGGCUAACUCUGUGCCAGCCGCCGCAGUAAAAC